UACGGAAGGCAGCAGUGGGGAAUAUUGCACAAUGGGCGCAAGCCUGAUGCAGCCAUGCCGCGUGUAUGAAGAAGGCCUUCGGGUUGUAAAGUACUUUCAGUCGUGAGGAAGGUGUUAAGGUUAAUAACCUUAGCAAUUGACGUUAGCGACAGAAGAAGCACCGGCUAACUCCGUGCCAGCAGCCGCGGUAAUACGGAGGGUGCGAGCGUUAAUCGGAAUUACUGGGCUAAAGGGCACGCAGGCGGUUAAUUAAGUUGGAUGUGAAAUCCCCGGGCUUAACCUGGGAAUGGCAUUCAAGACUGGUUAGCUAGAGUCUUGUAGAGGGGGUAGAAUUCCAUGUGUAGCGGUGAAAUGCGUAGAGAUGUGGAGGAAUACCGGUGGCGAAGGCGGCCCCUGGGACAAAGACUGACGCUCAUGUGCGAAAGCUGGGGAGCAAAC
rnacentral:rRNA from 1 species